UUCCUCUGUUAUGCUCAAGUCUGAGUCAUCCUUGUACACUGUUUCUCAGUGCUGUGAAUAAGGAGCGCUUAGAUUGCAUGAUGGUUUGUUUAGUCUAAGUUCUUGACAUGUGUUGGGCAUCUUAUGGCAUUUAGUGAGUGUUGGGAAAGGUCACUAUAAUCCUCAAUAUUUAUUAAACCUUCAGUUGUUCAGGAUUCUUCAGAGAGAAUACCAUGGGAAUCUUUUUGGAAUAAGCACUCUGGCAUCAAUGAGAAUGGAAAAGAAAUGUCACCAAGAGAACAAAGCCAGGAUGGCUUCUGAAGGCCUUGGUACCAGCUCACAGUCCAUCCCCAAGGAAAGUAAAGAAGCUCAAGGCAGGAACCUGGCGGUAUGAAUGACAGCAGAGAACUGAGGAAUGCUGCUUCUGGCUUUCUUAUACAACUCAGAUUACAUCUAGCCCAACUGUUAUCAGAGAGGCUUCACAUAGCAACUGAUGGAAACAGAUGUAGAGACCAACAGCCAAACAUCUCAGAGCUUGCAGAAUCCUGGGGAAGAGGAGGAGGAAGGAUUGGAACACCCAGUGGUGUCAUGGCACUACAAGAAAACUCACUGAACCAACUGACCCGGCCUCAUAGGGCCUCACAGAGACUGAACCAACAACCAAGGAGACUGUAUGAAACUGACUCCAUACUGUAUGGAGACUCACUCCAGCCUCUCUGGAAGUUGUGCAGCAAUGGAUCACACGGCACAAGGGUUGAAUAUCAGCAAAGAAGCCAAGCAGUGGUCUGUCAUGGAAUAGUGUUCCUCCCACAAUGGCAAUUUUAGGAUCCUGACCUAAGUCUGUGGAGAAAUGGAACCCAACGUUUUGGUAAAGUAUGCAUCUGGCAUUAGUUUGUUGCCAAAUUGAGGAUUUUCCUUUGAUUCUUAAGUAUAUUUGUUUUAACUCCAGACUUAGCUAUUGUGCAAAUUAGUAGCUACAGCACACCAUGUGUAAUUCUGGGCCCACAUUUUUUUUUCAUUCUCUCCUUGCAGAGCACAAAGGAGGAAGUGAAAGCAUAAAAACUAAUGUCUUUUUACUUAAACACAGGGGAUUGGGGUUAAAAAAAAAACCUAGCUAAUUUAUUUUAGAUUUAUCUAAAUGUUAAGUACUAUUUAUGUACUACUGAAGUACAGAAAUAAAAGCAUGAGUGAAACUAAAUUGCUCUUUAUUAGACAUGAGCAUGCAAAUAUUUAAAAAAUUCCUGGAAUUUUCUACCUACUUAGUAAAAUAAUAUGAUCAAAUAUCUAAAUUGCACAAGGUUUUGAAGUUAAGUCUAGUAGAUGUACAUCACAUUGUGAAACAGUUGAACAUAUCUGUGAGCUAUUACCUAAAUCAGCACUGAAUAAGAAAAACAAUCAGUGGUAUGCCACAGUUUGUCCUUAUUUCUCAUUUACUUCUCUAGAAAAGUCUGGGACUCCUGCUAAUUCAAGGCCAGGUUUGAUUAGGUCAGUUUUUUGGUUUCAGGUCUUCUCCAUUUUCUCAUUUGUAUGGGAUGAGUGUGUUUCUGCAAGGUGUCAUAGAUUCUGUUCUAUUGUUGUUAAAAGACAUCAUGAACAUGGCAACUCUUAUAAAAGAAAGCAUUUGUUUGGGUCUUGCUUACAGUUUCAGAGGCUUAGUUUUGUUUGUUUUGUUUUGUUUUGUUUUGUUU